rnacentral:rRNA from 1 species
CGCGUAGGCGGGUCGUUAAGUUGGGGGUGAAAGCCCAGGGCUCAACCCCUGGAAUUGCCUUCAAUACUGGCGACCUUGAGUAUGGCAGAGGUGUGUGGAACUCCGAGUGUAGAGGUGAAAUUCGUAGAUAUUCGGAAGAACACCAGUGGCGAAGGCGACACACUGGGCCAUUACUGACGCUGAGGCGCGAAAGCGUGGGGAGCAAACAGGAUUAGAUACCCUGGUAGUCCACGCUGUAAACGAUGAGUGCUAGUUGUCGGUAUGCAUGCAUAUCGGUGACGCAGUUAACGCAUUAAGCACUCCGCCUGGGGAGUACGGUCGACAAGAUUAAA